UCCCCGUUACCGGGGCAGUCUGAAUAGAAAAAUCCAACUAUUCAUAAGGGUUGCGCUCGUUGAAGGACUUAACCUAACAUCUCACGACACGAGCUGACGACGGCCAUGCAACACCUGUCACUUGGCUCCCGAAGGCACUCUCGGCUUUCACCAAAAUUCCAAGGAUGUCAAGUCUGGGUAAGGUUCUUGGCUUAGCAUCCAAUUAAACAACACGCUCCACCGCUUGUGCGGGUCCCCGUCUAUUCCUUUGAGUUUUAAUCUUGCGACCGUACUCCCCAGGCGGGAUGCUUAACGCGUUAGCUUCGCUACGCAUCGGGUCGAUACGACACACAGCUAGCAUCCAUCGUUUACGGCGUGGACUAC
rnacentral:misc_RNA from 1 species